UGGUACUACCCACAACCCCUGCUGGAAGCUAGUGACAUCAGUCCGCCAUGUCAUGCUGUACAAUAGUAAUAUCAGUUAGCCCCAAGCCCACCACCUUCCUGCCACUACCAGAACGCCAUCUCAUGCUGUACACUACUGACAUCAGUUCAUCAUCUCAUGCUGUACAAUAGUAAAAUCAGUUAGUCACAGGCCGACCAUCUUCCUGCCACUACCUGAAUGCCAUCUCAUGCUGUAUGCUAUAAACAUCUGUCUUCCAUCUCAUGCUGUAAGAAAAGCUGCAUGAAAAGUCUAAUUCUCAAAUCUACCAUAAAAGCACUAACAGAGGUAACUUGACAACUACUCAGGAAGGAAUCAAGCUGAGGAGCAGUUAACAAUAGACGCUGAUUCACCGUAAACGUUGUAUACCUUCAGAAUGUAAAAAAAAAUUCAGGCUGGUAUUCUGCAAAUAAAAUGACUAAAACACACACAGCACAAAAGCAUUUGGCAAGUGAACACAUUUGCUACAGUCCAUUAGUGCAUCAGAGAGAAACACAGAGACAGGGAUUUAAUAUCAUUCUACAACAAGUUGCAAAAUGGAAGCAUGCAAAAAGGACAACUAUAAUAAACAUGACUUAAGAAUAUAAGAAGGAUUGUUCAGCGCGACGGCUCUGCAACAACAAAACUUCUUUAUUGAUAAAAGCACACGGUAUAUCAGGACAUCUUAUGGACAGUGACGCGUUUCAUCUGGAGGCACCUGGCUGUACUCGACUAGGAAUUAUUUGACACUUUUUUUUUGUCACACAAUAGACAUGAACACAUAUUUCCGCUAUAGUUGUAAUACUUCAGUGACAAUCUUAAAGGCAACCUGUCAUCUGUUAUGCUGCCCACUCCAUGGGAAGCAUUAAACAGGUGCAGGAAAUGGGAUUUCAUGACACUGUCAUUGACUCUAAAACAUUUAGACAUUUCAGUAAAAUCACAGUUUAAAAAAGUCACUAGGACCUGAAAAAACUAAACAUUAGGAAAGUUCCCGUUGCUCUAUGAACUGUCAGGCCUGAGUGACGGGUCUAUCCCUACGCACAGAUAGGGAGAGACGGAUCACUAAGGACUAGCAGGGCAGACAGCAGCCAUGGGGACAACCUCCUGUGACUAGUUGCCUGGGUUCCGGCUCCUUUUUUACUAUGAUUUCUCUUAAACGCUUAAGUCAGUCUAAAACAUCAGACUGGUAAGCAUGCCGUAACAGCUUGAUAUCAUGAAAGUAAAGCUGCCUGGUAGGAGAAGGAGCAGGGCUGCUGUUUUACUGUGCUAUAUUAA